GGGAUUGCCUUAGUAACUGCGAGUGAAGCGGCAAGAGCUCAGAUUUGAAACCUGCCAUCUUCGGUGGUCGGAUUGUAAUCUGGAGAGACAUCUUCUGGUGGACGGCCUGUCAAAGUUCGUUGGAACAGGACAUCAGAGAGGGUGAGAAUCCCGUAUCUGGCUGGCGCGGUCCUCCUUGUGAAGUGUCUUCGACGAGUCGAGUUGUUUGGGAAUGCAGCUCAAAAUGGGUGGUAAAUUUCAUCUAAAGCUAAAUAUUGGCGAGAGACCGAUAGCGCACAAGUAGAGUGAUCGAAAGAUGAAAAGCACUUUGAAAAGAGAGUCAAAAGUACGUGAAAUUGUUGAAAGGGAAGCGCUUGAGACCAGACUCGGGCUUAGGUGAUCAACGGUGCUUCUGCUCCGUGCACUUGCCUAUGCCCGGGCCAGCAUCGGUUGUGACGGCGGGAUAAAGGCCUGGGGAAUGUGGCUCCCUUCGGGGAGUGUUAUAGCCUCAGGCGUAAUGCCGCCUGCUGCGACCGAGGACCGCGCUUCGGCUAGGAUGCUGGUGUAAUGGUCUUCAGCGACCCGUCUUGAAACACGGACCAAGGAGUCUAACAUCUAUGCGAGUGUUCGGGGUGAAAAACCCCUGCGCGUAAUGAAAGUGAACGGAGGUGGGAACCCCUUAACAGGGUGCACCAUCGACCGAUCCUGAUGUUUUCGGAUGGAUUUGAGUAAGAGCAUAGCUGUUGGGACCCGAAAGAUGGUGAACUAUGCCUGAAUAGGGUGAAGCCAGAGGAAACUCUGGUGGAGGCUCGCAGCGGUUCUGACGUGCAAAUCGAUCGUCAAAUUUGGGUAUAGGGGCGAAAGACUAAUCGAACCAUCUAGUAGCUGGUUCCUGCCGAAGUUUCCCU
rnacentral:rRNA from 1 species